rnacentral:rRNA from 1 species
CGCGUAGGCGGCCUGCUAAGUCUGGAGUGAAAGUCCUGCUUUCAAGGUGGGAAUUGCUUUGGAUACUGGUGGGCUGGAGUGCAGGAGAGGAAAGCGGAAUUACCGGUGUAGCGGUGAAAUGCGUAGAGAUCGGUAGGAACACCAGUGGCGAAGGCGGCUUUCUGGCCUGAAACUGACGCUGAGGCGCGAAAGCGUGGGGAGCAAACA